CUCCCUCGCUCCUCUCAUCCUCCUGUGACUUAGUUUGCUGUGCGCAACAACUGGCAGACCUCUCUCCUCAUCUCCGUUGCUCGGGAGGGGAUCCUGCACGUUUGGGCACAUGGUCUUACGGCGGUGACAGAUCCGCGGCACAACAACCUGAAGGGACAGAGGCACGGCAUCCUCAGCCUUCCCCGUCACUGCCGAAACAAGGCAGCGGACAAAUGGGCGGCUUUGUGCUCAGCGGCUGCCACUCUGUAGAGAUCUCUAGGAUUUGGCCUGAAUGUUUGCGAGCGAUUCUGCCCCCAGAAGCCGGGCUAGACCGAGGACAGGAUGUGAGGUCUGUGAGCACCCUAUGCCAGAUGCAACCUUUGACGGGGGCCUUGCCUUGUGGUAAAGGGCAUCUUCAAUCAAUUCCCCUAGAGAGAAAGCUCUGCUUUGGCCUAUGCCACUGUGAAUGGGUGAAAGUCAGGCGAAGCCCCCUUUUUCUAAGGCUCUCUUCGGUGACGGGUAUUCUUGGGUGGAUAAUACGGCUCUCGUUGUUAUUGCUUAAGAAUACGCGUAGUUGAGGAGAGUCAUUGUCAACUGUCUUCGGGGAGAUAACCUCCACUGGUCCCAAAAAACUUCUGGCUUUGCACUGCGGCCGUUUAUGUAGCUAAACUAGACAGCUAAUUAUUUUCUCUGUGGUUUGUUUGAUUUCUGCAACAGGAGACAGGCAGCUCUUGGUCUCAUUGGAUUGUCUCCACCUACAUUGGCAAAGCGCCGCUUUAUGCACCGCUAUCCAAUGAGUGGCAUUUUGCAUUUCACACAACUUGUUUUUAUUUUUUUAUCUGAGUGUGGGUUCGAGGGGCAGAUUAUUGGGAAUGGCUUAUUUUGGCUCUCUUCAGGGAGUGUUUUAGUGUACACAUGCUUGCCUGGCUGAUAGGAAUGCAUUUACUGCUCUUUAUUAUUAGUCCUGUGCACCAGCAGGAGCCCCGGACUGCAUGGGGUGUUCACACAGAUCGAUUUUGAGAUGGCAUUAGGCGUACAGUUUUCACCAUUCAGCUUAUAGCGUUGGGAGGCAAAAUGUCUUCGGAAUCUAAGAGGCUUUGCUAUGAAAGGGGAGGGGCUUCCAGUCUAAUUAUGAAACACAACUAGUAGAAGCAGCAUAAUAGAUUACAUGAAUGCAUCUACUGGGCUCGUAGCAUCAGCUGUUUCCUUCUGAUUGUAGCACAGUUUCUCAGGACUAAAAAACAAUUUAAUAUAGUUUUUUUUUUCUUCUACAUAAAGACACAUGCACAUAAUGCUCUUUUCCAAACCACUAAUUACUUUUUAAUGAUGCACUCAAAUGUCUUAGUUAGCUUGUGCUGGUGAAAGCUAAUGAGGCCUGUGUCAUAUAAAGAUGAUCAGUGUUUUUAAAGCAGUCAUACCUUUCUCUCAGCUGUUUCCUUAGGGAUAUGUUGUUUAUAUAAGAUUUAACAAAACAACUUUAAUAUAACUGAAUGCAUUCAAGAUUAACCUGAUAUCUUUUUUUAAUGGAUUGUUUUUAUAAACCUAAGAUAAAACUGAAGGAGUGGCAAUUUUAGAUAGUCUCUGCUAUGUAUAUAUUUAUAAAUAAAUAUUUGUUAAAUAAAUAUUUGUUUGUGUUGGUUACAAUUUAAUUGUUAUACAGAACUGUUAAGAAAUUGUAAAUGCAUGGCUUGCUUCUUUCAUUCUCUGCUUUAAAAAAAUAAAUAAAAAGGCCUGGAAGGCAAAGAGGCAAAAUGCAAAUUGACUUCUACUCUGUUUUAGUUACAUUAGCCACAGAACUUGUGAAAAUAACUAGAGGCUUAUUAUAAAUGCUCAUGAAAAGUUCCCAUCCCCAGAAAGAAAACAUAUUACUUAUAUUAUUAUGUAAUCUAGUGAUAUAAUGCUAAUAUUAUACAUAUCACGAGGUUAUAAAAGGUAUAUUAUAUUUUAUUACUUAUAUUAUAUUAUAUUGAUGUUACCUGUCAUUAAUUCAUUGUAAUUCUUUGUUACUGAUGCACAUUCAAUG